CUAUUUAUUUAUUUUUUUUUAUUUUUUUUUCAGUCUUGCAGCUCUAUGUUGUUGCUGCCUCGUAGAUGAAUGUUGCUGUGACCCUUCAAUCUUAUGUAUUUGGUGAUAAUAUGAAAGAUCUUGUAGCUACAAAAAUACUAUAAAUAAAGUUCAAGCAAGCUUUAAUUAUAUAGUAGUUUUACAAUGUUUAAAGUUUUUAAUUAUGCUAUGAUCAAUAUCUUGUUUUCAUUUUCCAACUUGGUUGUAAUUAUUGUUUUUCUUUUAGGCAUUGUAUUGCGGAUUCUCUCUUGAUUUGAUUAUGUAAUGUAAUGCAGUGUGGAAAACAAACAAUUGUUGAGUUAAUUUCAUUGGGUCCCCUAUACUCCCCUAAUCUUGUUUGUCUCUGUGAAUCACAUCAAUUUGAAUUCAAUUUUUAU
rnacentral:lncRNA from 1 species